GACGAACGCUGGCGGCGUGCUUAACACAUGCAAGUCGAGCGGUAAGGCCCUUUCGGGGGUACACGAGCGGCGAACGGGUGAGUAACACGUGGGUGACCUGCCCUCAGCUCUGGGAUAAGCCUGGGAAACCGGGUCUAAUACUGGAUAUGACUCCAUGACGCACGUUGUGGGGUGGAAAGCCUUGUGCGGCUGAGGAUGGGCCCGCGGCCUAUCAGCUUGUUGGUGGGGUGAUGGCCUACCAAGGCGACGACGGGUAGCCGGCCUGAGAGGGCGACCGGCCACACUGGGACUGAGACACGGCCCAGACUCCUACGGGAGGCAGCAGUGGGGAAUCUUGCGCAAUGGGCGAAAGCCUGACGCAGCGACGCCGCGUGAGGGAUGACGGCCUGGU
rnacentral:rRNA from 1 species